GAUGAUAGUAAUAAUUUAUUCCGCCAUAGAAUCUACAAUAGGUAUGUAAUAGCAAGAUAUAAGCGAUUAAUAAGAACCAUCACUAGUAGCCAUGGUUACAGAGAGAGAAGAAACUUAUAUUAUGCAGAAUUCACGGAGCUGCAAAAGCACACACCUUCAUCUCCAACUUCUUUUCUGUGUUACACAACCUUUACAUAUGGGGGCACGCAUGCUAAUAAGGUGGUGGAGGGCGGUGGUGAGGCCAGUGGGGCGGGGGAGGACCUGGUGGUCCGGGAGGCGCUGGUGGACUGUACGGCCCCGGGGGUGGUGGUCCUGGUGGCCCUGGUGGUGGCGGCGGUGCAAAAGGAUCAGGUGGUGGUGGGUGGUGCCAAGACGGAGGAGGAGGCCCUGGUGGCCCUGGUGGCCCCGGUGGCGGUGGUGGCGCAAAAGGAUCGUAUGGUGGUGGUGGCCGCCCUGGUGGCCCUGGUGGGGGCGGCGCAUAAGGAUCGUAUGGUGGCGGAGGAUGCCUGUGGUGUGUCAUGUUCUUGAAACUUCUGGGAGAAAAUGUUACAGAAGCUAAAGCAGAGAUGGGUGGUGUUAAAUGGCGGAACUUGCUUAUAAACAGAUAGAAAUCACACAAUCAAAGAGACUAGUAGUUGGGAAGAGCGGUGGGUCAAAUCCUUUCACAUGGGAAAAACGACUGGUAGCUUAUGACAUCUCU
rnacentral:lncRNA from 1 species